rnacentral:rRNA from 1 species
UACGUAGGGGGCAAGCGUUGUCCGGAAUCAUUGGGCGUAAAGAGCGUGUAGGCGGUCCGGUCAGUCGGUUGUGAAAGUCAAGGGCUCAACCCUUGAAUGCCGGCCGAUACUGCCGGGCUAGAGUCCGGAAGAGGUGAGUGGAAUUCCUGGUGUAGCGGUGAAAUGCGCAGAUAUCAGGAGGAACACCGAUGGCGAAGGCAGCUCACUGGGACGGUACUGACGCUGAAAUACGAAAGCCGGGGGAGCAAACAGG